GACGAACGCUGGCGGCGUGCUUAACACAUGCAAGUCGAACGGAAAGGCCCUGCUUUUGUGGGGUGCUCGAGUGGCGAACGGGUGAGUAACACGUGAGUAACCUGCCCUUGACUUUGGGAUAACUUCAGGAAACUGGGGCUAAUACCGGAUAGGAGCUCCUGCUGCAUGGUGGGGGUUGGAAAGUUUCGGCGGUUGGGGAUGGACUCGCGGCUUAUCAGCUUGUUGGUGGGGUAGUGGCUUACCAAGGCUUUGACGGGUAGCCGGCCUGAGAGGGUGACCGGCCACAAUGGGACUGAGAUACGGCGCAGACUCCUACGGGAGGCAGCAGGGGGGAAUAUUGCGCAAUGGGCGGAAGCCUGAUGCAGCAACGCCGCGUGCGGGAAGACGGCCUUCGGGUUGUAAACCGCUUUCGACUGUGACGAAGCGGGAGUGACGGUAAUGGGUAAAGAAGCACCGGCUAACUACGUG
rnacentral:rRNA from 1 species